GUCCUAUGCGUUUGAACUUGUUAUUCAAGCACUUAACCAUAAGGCUUAAUCUAACUUUCACCUGUGUACCCCACCGGUGUGUGUUUUUUUCAAGUAUCCAGAAUACGUAAUUGCCAUUUCAUUGAUGCACUAACAGUAUUUAUCAAGCACUAGAGACAUAUCCCUGAUGAAGUCUUAGAGUAAGAUGAAACGUGUCGGGUUAUUUGUUCAUAAACAUCAAAUCUCCGAAUUGUCAAAGGAGAAGGAGGAAUCUAUCAAAGUUAUUUCAACUGGUCCUCUGUACUAUAUGGUGUUAUCAGCAAGAAGAGAUACUAUACCGUUUUGUAUCAUUGCUUUUAUGUUAUAAUACAUUUUUACAUGGAACAUGUUAAAUGUGGUUUUAUGCUCACGAAUUAGGAGUAAAUAUCUUAGGGAGACUGCUGUUUUUCCCCAUUGAAUAUUGGGUGGAAAAACAACCCAAGUGCACCCAUU